UACGUAGGGGGCAAGCGUUGUCCGGAAUCAUUGGGCGUAAAGAGCGUGUAGGCGGCCCGGUAAGUCCGCUGUGAAAGUCGGGGGCUCAACCCUCGAAAGCCGGUGGAUACUGUCGGGCUAGAGUGCGGGAGAGGCGAGUGGAAUUCCUGGUGUAGCGGUGAAAUGCGCAGAUAUCAGGAGGAACACCGAUUGCGAAGGCAG
rnacentral:rRNA from 1 species